rnacentral:sRNA from 1 species
GCAAACCAUAAAUAUACUGACUUUUCUUACAGAUAAAAGAGAAACUAAAGGGGCGUGCCCAGUAUCACCAGCUGUUAAGAUAUAAAACAGAAUUUUCCGUACCCAUUCUCUUCACACAGCAGCAGGCUAAAUUUGCCAAACCAUGUAGUAAGGAAAGACAUGCUUGUGAGAUUAAACGAAAUCAUUUUUAUGAACCAUUUGACUGUCCAAGUCACUCAAGGGAAAGGAUUAAUGCCAGAUGGUACCAGCAGAUUUACUUGCAAAGGAAAGACAGUUUUGCAUUACAUGGGAACCAGCACAUUUUCUGAAUACACAGUUGUGGCUGAUAUCUCUGUU